UGAACUGACUGAAUGUGCCAACUUGUUGCUAUUGCGAAGGAAAUAUCAGCUGCUGUUUCAACAAAAUGUGAAUGCAGACUGAAAUUCAACCGUGUUGUUGUGUCAGGAGAGGCAGCGAUUCAAAACAGCGUAUGGCCAAAAGCUGAGUGGACAUCGGUGGUAGUUCCUGUCCUGUGGUCAGCUCCAGCAUCAAGAAGUGGACAAAAAGAGCAACAACAACGACAUUAAGAAUUUAUAAGUCCUUAAGCUAUAAAUCACAGUUUAAUGCAAACAAUAUAAUAAAAUCCUUUUAUAAUCCA